CACACUUCCCAGCCACUGACUAAGAUCAAGCUCAUCAUCUUUUCCUAUCACUUUAAUAUCUGAUACCUCCUCAGCUUGAAGACUUUCUAUUAAAUGGAUUUGGAGGGCAUGGGAAGGGUAACCACUUCGUCCAUUCCCUGCACCAACCUGAAACUGCAGUGCUUCCAGGCACUGUGGCUGCGUU
ensembl:snRNA U2 U2 spliceosomal RNA